CCUACGGGAGGCUGCAGUGAGGAAUAUUGGUCAAUGAGCGGAAGCUUGAACCAGCCACGUCGCGUGCAGGAUGACUGUCCUAUGGAUUGUAAACUGCUUUUUCACAGGAAUAAUAAUGCUCACGAGUUGGGUAUAUGCAAGUACUGUGCGAAUAAGGAUCGGCUAACUCCGUGCCAGCAGCCGCGGUAAUACGGAGGAUCCGAGCGUUAUCCGGAUUUAUUGGGUUUAAAGGGUACGUAGGCGGACUUAUAAGUCAGCGGUGAAAUUCUACAGCUUAACUGUAGGCGUGCCGUUGAAACUGUUAGUCUUGAGUGUAGAUAAGGUAGGCGGAAUGUGUUGUGUAGCGGUGAAAUGCAUAGAUAUGACACAGAACCCCGAUUGCGAAGGCAGCUUACCGGGUUACCACUGACGCUGAGAGUACGAAAGCGUGGGGAUCAAACAGGAUUAGAUACCCUUGUAGUC
rnacentral:rRNA from 1 species